rnacentral:rRNA from 1 species
UACGGGGGGAGCAAGCGUUGUUCGGAUUUACUGGGCGUAAAGGGCGCGUAGGCGGCCAGCACAAGUCAGUUGUGAAAUCUCCGGGCUUAACUCGGAAAGGUCAACUGAUACUGUGCGGCUAGAGUGCAGAAGGGGCAACUGGAAUUCUCGGUGUAGCGGUGAAAUGCGUAGAUAUCAGGAGGAACACCUAUGGCGAAGGCAGCUCGCUGGGACGGUACUGACGCUGAGGCGCGAAAGCGUGGGGAGCGAACAGG